AUUUCCGUGGUGUAUUUAGUAGCGCGACCGUCUGGCAAACGGAAGUCGCGGGUUCGAGUCCUGCCAAUA
rnacentral:tRNA from 1 species